rnacentral:rRNA from 1 species
AACGAACGCUGGCGGCAUGCCUAACACAUGCAAGUCGAACGAGACCUUCGGGUCUAGUGGCGCACGGGUGCGUAACGCGUGGGAACCUGCCCUUAGGUUCGGCAUAACUCCCCGAAAGGGGUGCUAAUACCGGAUAAUGUCUUCGGACCAAAGAUUUAUCGCCUUUGGUUGGGCCCGCGUUGGAUUAGCUAGUUGGUAGGGUAAAAGCCUACCAAGGCGACGAUCCAUAGCUGGUCUGAGAGGAUGAUCAGCCACACUGGGACUGAGACACGGCCCAGACUCCUACGGGAGGCAGCAGUGGGGAAUAGUGGACAAUGGGCGAAAGCCUGAUCCAGCAAUGCCGCGUGAGUGAUGAAGGCCUGAGGGUUGUAAAGCUCUUUUACCCGGGAUGAUAAUGACAGUACCGGGAGAAUAAGCUCCGGCUAACUCCGUG